rnacentral:rRNA from 1 species
UCCUACGGGAGGCAGCAGUGGGGAAUAUUGGACAAUGGGCGAAAGCCUGAUCCAGCCAUGCCGCAUGAGUGAAGAAGGCCUUUGGGUUGUAAAGCUCUUUUAGUGAGGAAGAUAAUGACGGUACUCACAGAAGAAGUCCUGGCUAAUUCCGUGCCAGCAGCCGCGGUAAUACAA